rnacentral:tmRNA from 1 species
GGGGUCGUAUUGGUUUCGACCAGGAAUGGUUAGGCUCUAACUGCAGUCGAGUGAUGACGCUAUCAUCAAAACAAAAAUAACUGACAACAGUUAUAUGAGAGCUCCUAGAGCUCAAUCCCUCUGCUUAGCUUAAUUUAGCUCCCGACAUAGGGUUCCGACGCACGGCGCCGGGCAGAGCAUCCCUCAAGGUUUUAUCCUUUCACGCUUGAGUAGGGUGUCAUACCAAAAGGAUAGGUAAGAGGAGUGGACUUGUUACCAUUACCGAAAUUAAGUAAGUCUCGCACGUCCUAGUGGGUCGAUAUACGAAAGCGUGUUAAAUCUUAAUAUCGUCUAAACUGUAGACGUUAUUGAAGAGCCUUCUUGGGACAGGGGUCCGAUUCCCCUCGGCUCCACCA